rnacentral:rRNA from 1 species
GACGAACGCUGGCGGCGUGCUUAACACAUGCAAGUCGAACGGAAAGGCCCUGCUUUUGUGGGGUGCUCGAGUGGCGAACGGGUGAGUAACACGUGAGUAACCUGCCCUUGACUUUGGGAUAACUUCAGGAAACUGGGGCUAAUACCGGAUAGGAGCUCCUGCUGCAUGGUGGGGGUUGGAAAGUUUCGGCGGUUGGGGAUGGACUCGCGGCUUAUCAGCUUGUUGGUGGGGUAGUGGCUUACCAAGGCUUUGACGGGUAGCCGGCCUGAGAGGGUGACCGGCGACAUUGGGACUGCGAUACGGCGCAGAAUCCAACGGGAGGCAGCAGGGGGGAAUAUUGCACAGUGGGCGGAAGCCUGAGGCAGCAGCGCCGCGUGCGGGAUGACGGCCUUCGGGUUGUAAACCGCUUUCGCAUGUGACGAGGCGUGAGUGACGGUAAUGGGUAAAGAAGCACCGGCUAACUACGUG